rnacentral:rRNA from 1 species
ACCCGCUGAACUUAAGCAUAUCAAUAAGCGGAGGAAAAGAAACCAACAGGGAUUGCCCUAGUAACGGCGAGUGAAGCGGCAACAGCUCAAAUUUGAAAUCUGGCCUUCUGGUCCGAAUUGUAAUUUGUAGAGGAUGCUUUUGGUUAGGUACCUUUCGAGUUCCUUGGAACAGGACGCCUUAGAGGGUGAGAGCCCCGUACGAUUGGAUACCGAGCCGCUGUAGAGCUCCUUCGACGAGUCGAGUAGUUUGGGAAUGCUGCUCUAAAUGGGAGGUAAAUUUCUUCUAAAGCUAAAUACCGGCCAGAGACCGAUAGCGCACAAGUAGAGUGAUCGAAAGAUGAAAAGCACCUUGAAAAGAGGGUUAAAAAGUACGUGAAAUUGUUGAAAGGGAAGCAUUCAUGACCAGACUUGGGCUUGGUUGAACAUCCGGCGUUCUCGCCGGUGCACUCUGCCAGUCCAGGCCAGCAUCAGUUUGCCCCGGGGGACAAAGGCGGUGGGAAUGUGGCUCUCUUCGGGGAGUGUUAUAGCCCGCCGUGUAAUGCCCUGGGGUGGACUGAGGAACGCGCUUCGGCACGGAUGCUGGCGUAAUGGUCAUCAAUGACCCGUCUUGAAACACGGACCAAGGAG